UUUUUAAAUAAAACUAUUUACGUAGAACUCCAGAUAAUAAUGGAAAAAUUAAAAUUGACCAAAAAAAGAAUAACCUUGGACUUCGAAAAAGAUUUAUCUCCAAAACCCUAAAUUCUCCCAAAUUUGCAGACAACACUAGCAGCAACAACAGGAUAAUGGCUUGGCGUGGUCCGCUUUCCAGAUCUCUCAUGUCCACCGUUAGGGCUUCGACCUUCCGCUCUUCUCCGCCACUCGCUGCCGGCCGUCUCCGUCCUCCCCCCGUAUCGGCCCCUCGCCGUUUCUCCUUCUCCAAUCCCAGGUUCCGGAUCCCGGUUUUAAUGUCCUUUUUUCUUCUCUUUAAUCGGAUCGUUUAUGGAACAUAUUGACGUGGGUUUUUAUUUAUUUUAUCUGUCAAAAUGAAGAUUCAGAAUCGUAGAAAUCGAAAUUGAUUUUGUUUAGAAAAUAGAACAUUUUUUAACCCUCGUUCGGAUCUUUCGGGUUUCAAAGAUUGGGUUCUGAAAUGAAAUUUUACAGUCAUACAAAUUAUUCGAUUUUCGCAAGUUUUGAAUAAUAUUUUGAAGCCCAAAUAAUAAUAUUUUUCUCUGCUUGUAUUCCAUCAUUGUACCAAUAUUACUAUGGACAUAACUUGUUUCUCCUUUUGGUUUUUUGGGUUGGUCGAAAUAGUUUUAUAUUUCACGCUUCUCACAAACAGAUGUUUUUGCUUGUGAAUGUAGGACCUUGGGGGAGCUGGGAUGCGUGCAGUCACUGAUGCCUCUGCACAACAUGGCUGGAGUUAGGCUGACAUCUCAUUUGGCAACCAAUGUUCGAGCUUGCUGCGAGCUGUCCCAUGGUACCUUCUGCCGUUCUUGUCAGGAUCGCUAGUAGUUUCUUUGUGAGUCUUAAACUGUUGUUACUAGGAGCCAACUAAUGUCAAUGAAGAGGGAAAUUUAAAAUUUCAUAUUUUGUUUUUUAGCAGAAGCUCAUUGAUUUUAUCUCCGUAGUUAUCAAUGAAAUAUGUUGAUGACUUGAGUCUGGCUAUUUCUGAGAUAUUGUUCAUGAGUCGAGGGGUGAAGUAAUUGAAUUAUUUAUUAGCUUGUGAAAAUCUGUUGAUAAGAAAGAGUUGGGAUUAUUGGGAUUUAUAGGGAGGACAGGGAAAGAUGGGUGAUGUCAGCAGCACUUCCCAACACUCAAUUGCAGGACCUGAUGCCACAUUGUAGGUUGAUUUUUUGUCCUUUUUUCUACAUUUCGAUCUAGUAUAAUCUUUCUUUGGGUUCAGUAUAAGAUAAUUAAUGAAAGUACUGAAUAAGUAAUUUAUAAAUUAGAACAACUUUAUAUUCUUAUUUCAUUUUCAUUUUUUUAGAAUAUCUUAUAUAAUGGCAUAGCAUACAUUUAUGUUUUUGAAUAUGUAUAUGAAAGCAAAACUAUUGUCCUUACUGAUGUAAAUUGAACAUUUUGUGCUUGAGACGUAUGUCUUUCUAUUAAUUUUUGUUUGCCCAUCUCGAUAAGUAGUAUCAAUUCAAUUCAAUGAAAAUUUAAUCAAAUACAAGGGAUAAAUUGAAAUAUAUGGACUGUUUCCUUAUCUUCUCCUCCAGCUUGAAAUAUGGAGAAAAUCAUGGGCAGGAAAUUGGAAGGUUUCGCAAUUGUAGGCAAAUACAAAAAUUGUACACUUUGUUUUAUUAGACCUGAAAAUUUAUCUGUCCAGUGCUUUUGUACCCCUGUUUCCUAUGUUUUUCACAAUUAUAAUUUACCUUUCCAAUGCAUGAACAUGCUUUUUACAAAAAUAUUGCUAAGAGCUGAAACUUUAACAGCAUUUAGGUACACGGUAAAAGUGCCUGUAACAUGUGGUAGAUUGCUUUUACUUUCCUGUACAUUAAGUGCUUGGAUUAGUUUGUUAUAUUAUUUUGGUUGUAUGUUCAACAGUACUAAUACAUUGAUCCUUGAUUUUAUUUUACUCUGUUUUGUGAACAAAUAUGUAAAUUUUCAUGAAGUUUACAUAAUGUCCUUUAUCAACAUGUAUCUAAUUAAAAUUAUAUGUAUAUAGGAGGUUACCUAAAAUAAUUUUUUUUUAUUUUGAUAUCUGAAACUGGUGAAUUAUUGGAUUUUCUUUUGGUACAGUGAGUGCUCAAAUGCAGUGACUUUGCCAUUUUAGUAUAAUAGUUCAAGUGGCUUAUUUUUCAGCUUGAACAUCAACGAGGGCAAUAGCAUUAGGAUGUGUUCACAAUUGUUUCUCUGGUUUGGGAUGAAGAUUAGAAUAAUUUUGCAGAUACCAUUGUUCUAUCACAUUAUUUUAUGAUUUCAUAUUUCAAACAGUGCAUACAAAUACUCAAAUUAUUUGUGAGAGAGAAGCUUUCAAGCAUUGAAUUCAAAUUUUGGCACUCAUCUUUGAGUUGUCAACCUCUAUGAAUUGACUAAACAAGUGGAUGAAAUGAAUUGAAUUGAACGUUGUGUUUAUUUAUGUCUGCAACGCACAUCCACAUAGGACUUUUCAUAGAGGUGAGGAUAAGUAGCUUGAGCAUUAAUUCUCUGUUCAAAUGAAUGCUGUGUGGUUUUGCAUCAAAACACAAUGCACUUGUAUCUUAUCUUGCCCAAAUUCUAUACAUCUCUUACUCUAUAUCAUAUGGUUGACUGUCAAAGAGUUUUCGACAUUCGUCAAAAAUUGAGAUUUUGAUGUUUUCAUUUUGAACGGGGUCGAAGGAGUGUUGGUGUGUGAGAGUGUCUAUUUACUGACGGUGUUCGACACAUCCAAACACAAAUAUUUAACCUUCUUAAGGGUGUCCUUGUUUCUUAGGUUUCAAGGACCCCAUUGUACUAUUUUUUUUUUUGUUAUCAACACUAUACAUAUAAUGUCUUUGUGUGAACAUUUGGUUCUUUUGGGCGGUUGUUUUUAGUGUGCAUGCCGUGCUCAAGAAACAUGUUGGUGCUAUUUCAACUGAUUGACAAUAUACCAAGCAUAUUUAAGUGACUCGUUUCACCUUUUAAAUAUGUGGUUUGUAGUGUUCUCCAUAUCUGUCAUCGACGUCAUUAGUAUCUUCUGCUAAUACAGUAAUGCAAAUAUUAUGAUGUGGCAGGUACUUGAACAUGUAGAUGGACCAGCACCACCAGGUGUCUGAAGAUCUGAGGUCUCUGCAUGUAGGUCUAUUCGAUGGGAACAUCCUGUUCGGACAGGGAAAAAUGUAAUAAUGCUUUAUUAUAUUGUCAUAGGCAAGACUUGAAAUCGUUCUCAUAUUUGAGCCAUUUUUGAAAGCUACAUUUUUACCUUCAUAUAUCGAGUUCAAUUUGUGUUGAUCUUAGUAAUGGUUGGAGUUUAUUGAUUUUUUUCAGCCUUGAAAUGAUGUCUUGAACAUCCGAUUAAAUUGUGUUUGUUCGACACUGCCCAAAUUCCAUGAUUAAUUCUAGAAUUGAAAUGUUGAUAUC
rnacentral:lncRNA from 1 species